ensembl:lncRNA LOC120101499 uncharacterized LOC120101499
UGCCAUGUCCUACCUGCUAAACAGCUUUCCUUACAUUGACCAGAUUCGACAGUGCCUUUUCCAGCGACUGUAGGCAGCUGCGACGUGCCAGGCCUCAAAGUUGGCGCUGGUUUCUGCCUUCCACCCUCCCAAUGUUGGGCACGGCAAGUUGUGGCUUGUACAGGGACCUCCUGAGAUCAGAACUUCUUGCAGUGAGGAUGGCACUGGAAAGUUCCCAAGGUAAUUGGACAGGAGAAUUCGAUUUCUUAAUGGAUCAGCUACGUGUAGCCAUCAUGACCGUGAACUCCACACGUGCAGAUGCUAGACUGGCUAUGGGAUUGUCAUCUUGGAUUGAGGCUGCUAUGAAUCAUCUGAGGGAGUGGGCGGGUAUGGGAACCCUAGCUUGACUCUUGCUGCUGGUCUCCCUAGUGCGCCUGUGGUGUCUCUGUUGAAUGAGGUUUGUUCAGAGGCGGCACGAGUUUAUGGUGGUACAGGUAUUUGCAGCCAUUAAAUCAGGACAGUCCCCUCAAGCCUGGCUUACGGUCAUUCAGAAGACCUUGUUGUACCUCACGCCUGAGUAUGUAUGAGUGACCCUGCCCAGUGAUGGGCAACCUCCCUUCUACCUAAGGCAUGGGACCUUGUGGGAGACGAGGUGUCCUAAGACUGCUUUAAUGAACAGAUGAUCCUAAGAUGGUUGGAUGGGUUGCCACGCUCAGGGGUGCUUUUGCCUGCUUGAUUAAUUAAACAAUAAGGGGGAACUAUAGGCAGUUGCGAUAUGGUGCGCCUCAAAGAUGGUGCUGGUUUCCAUCUUCCACCCUCCCAAUGGUGCGUGCUCCUUGUAGUAAGGAAGUCCUUAAUUGGCUAUGCCUGCCUGGCCUCCCAGCUUCCGCAUAGUGAGAGCCGAUCUUCAUGACGCACAUAGCUUGCUGGGAUUGGCCAGCAGUAGCUAUUUAAGUGUGCUCCGGGGUUUCCAAGGGGGCAGAAGAUUGUAUCAAGGUUCCUGAAUAAAACUGCUUGAAGA